AGCCUGAGGAUCUCCUGCAGUGCCACAGGAGCUCUUCUGUCCUGCCUUUCUUUGCAGCUGAACCUGCCGGUGAAGGUCCCACAUCCAGGACUGAAGCUCUGGGAGAUGCUGAGGGUGUGUCUGUGGGGAGGACUUCUCAAGCUCCAGGGCUGGAUGCUUGGCCCCAACCCAGCUCCCAUGGCAGGGGUGAGUAGUGUGUACCUGCUGAUCCCACAGGAUGAGCCCCGCUUUUGUGGGAUCCAUUCCUGGGAAAUGGAACUACUUUCUCUUAAGGUCCUCCAAAAGGAAAGACCCAAGAUACUGCAGCCAAAACGUCUCAUGAGGCAGAUGAAUUCCUGAGACAAACACAGAAGGAAACACCCCGAGGACAAGUGAUGGACCAAAAGAUUGUGCAGAAGGAGGAGCACCCAGGGAGAAGCAGUGGCUCACUGGCAGCCCCUGCUGCAGGAAGGAAGGCGAUGGCAGACACGGGCACAGGCA